rnacentral:rRNA from 1 species
GGCGAACCAGGGGAACUGAAACAUCUAAGUACCCUGAGGAAAAGAAAUCAACCGAGAUUCUCUUAGUAGCGGCGAGCGAACGGGGAUCAGCCUGCAAGUGAUAGCUUGUGUGUUAGUGGAACGGUCUGGAAAGUCCGGCGAUACAGGGUGAUAGCCCCGUACACGAAGCAUGAUAUAUCACAUAUUAAGUAGGACGGGACACGUGUUAUCUUGUCUGAAGAUGGGGGGACCAUCCUCCAAGGCUAAAUACUCCUGGCUGACCGAUAGUGAACCAGUACCGUGAGGGAAAGGUGAAAAGCACCCCGACGAGGGGAGUGAAACAGUACCUGAAACCGAACGCCUACAAUCAGUCGGAGCUUGACU